rnacentral:rRNA from 1 species
AGAGCUAAUACAGCAUAAGACCACGGCUUCGCUGAAGCUGCGGUCAAAGCAGGCCUCUACACGUAAGCUUGCGCUUGAGGAUGAGUCUGCGGCCCAUCAGCUAGUUGGUAGGGUAAUGGCCUACCAAGGCAAAGACGGGUAGCUGGUCUGAGAGGAUGAACAGCCACACUGGAACUGAGACACGGUCCAGACUCCUACGGGAGGCAGCAGUGGGGAAUCUUGCGCAAUGGGCGAAAGCCUGACGCAGCGACGCCGCGUGAGCGAUGAAGGCCUUCGGGUUGUAAAGCUCUGUGGGGAGGAAAGAAUAAGGGUUGGCUAAUAUCCAGCUCGAUGACGGUACCUCCUUAGCAAGCACCGGCUAACUCUGUGCCAGCAGCCGCGGUAAGACAGAGGGUGCAAACGUUGUUCGGAAUUACUGGGCGUAAAGCGCGUGUAGGCGGCUUUGCAAGUCGGGUGUGAAAUCCCACGGCUCAACCGUGGAAGUGCACUCGAAACUGCAAGGCUAGAGUCCUGGAGAGGAAGGUGGAAUGCUUGGUGUAGAGGUGAAAUUCGUAGAUAUCAAGCGGAACACCGGUGGCGAAGGCGGCCUUCUGGACAGUGACUGACGCUGAGACGCGAAAGCGUGGGGAGCAAACAGGAUUAGAUACCCUGGUAGUCCACGCCGUAAACGAUGAGUGCUAGGUGUCACGGGCUUUGACCCUCGUGGUGCCGAAGCUAACGCGUAAGCACUCCGCC